GUAGAAAAAUAAUUGUCCUUACCUAAAGUUGUGUACUUUAAACAGCAAAUAUUUUGUCUCGCGGGUCUCGUGACGUCAUCGCACGCGCUCGAUUAUACUGAGGCCCGGCAAGGGUUAAUUCAAAUCUAAACUUUAUAAACUAUUUGCAGCCGAUAUUGAUUAGAGAUAUAUAUUAAUAGUUAUCACUCAUUAAACUUGUUUCUGAAUUUUGUCAGCGUAAUUUUAAAGCGAAAUCUCAAUUUCCUUUCUAAUUUGAUUGUCAUUUCAGCUAUCGUCACGCGGUUAUUUUUUUCAAUUUAGGGGAGGUAAAUCUGUUGAAAAAGAAAUACGUAAAUAUAUCUAGUUGCUGCCCUUCCAUUGUUAGGCUCUAUAUUUUUGUUUUAGAAUGCCUUACCAUUACCGCACAUAUGACACUGAAUCACUGCAGAUGGCCGUUGCGGCAGUACAAAAAAGGUAAUGUCAGCCAGAAAAGCAGCUAAAGAGUUUAGGGUGCCUCGGUCGACCCUACAAGACCAUGUGCGAUUUUCAAGGGCGCAAAAGGAAGGGCCAGUUUGUUGUCAGCCAGGCCGAAAACGAGAUUUGAGUGCGGAUGAAGAGACGUCACUGGCUGGGUACCUUCGGUAUAUGGCCAGUCAAGGGCUCCCGGCAACCCGGGAAGUUCUGCGGCAAAAAGUCGUAGAUAUAGUACUGUUGUCAGGUGGCAAAUCGAGAAUAAGUACAGAGAGAGGCCCAACUGACAGAUGGAUUCGGCAGUUUCUGGAGAGACAAGGUCUCUCUGACAGACUUGCUGAGAACAUAAGCAAGGUCAGGGCGUCGAUGUCAACACCUGCAAUACUUGAUGAGUUUUUGAAUUCUUCAGCGAAGUAAUGACAAAGUAUGAUCUCCUGGAAAAGCCUGAAAGGGUAUUCAAUUGUGACGAAACUGGCUGGACCGGGAAAGAGAAAUCAGCCAAGAAGGUGAUCGGUCCUAAGGGUGGUCAUCUGUUCAGGGGUCAGAAUACUCCAGGAAGCCACAUCACAGCACAUGUCUGUGUUAGCGCAUCCGGCAGGUUCUUGACAACACUUGUUGUUUACCAGGUACGUUAUACUUGUACAAGUAAACUCAUUAUUCGGUGAUCCCCAUGAACUUAACAUUUUUAUAAUUUUUUUUUUCAGGAUGUUUUACUUAAAUUAUUCAUUUAAUCAUUUUCUACACAGGGCUUCUUACCUCACAAGUCUAUAGAGGGCGUACCAGACACAUGACAGUUUGCGGCUACAGAAACGGGCUACCUUAACGCAGAUCUAUUCCAUCAGUGGUUCACUAAACUAUUUAUUCCUCAUUGUGGAAAGGACAGGCCAGUUGUGCUGAUUAUGGAUAACCACAACAGUCAUGUGUCCGUCAAUACAGUGAAAGACGCCAUUGACAAUGGUAUAGUGCUAGUUGGUCUGCCAGGCAACACGACGCAUAUCCUGCAGCCCCUAGAUGUUAAGGUGUUUGGACCUCUAAAGUCACGAGUGGACACGAUCUGCAGCAACAUGCCAUUCGCCCGUCGUGGAACGAGGUUUAUUCAAGAUACACUUUCCUGCUGUACUCAGACACGCCAUGGAACAGGCCACCCCUGCCUCUAUUAGGAAGUCAUUUGAAGUGACCGGCAUAUGUCCAUUCAACAGAGCUGCUAUUGAUACGUCACAGCUGCUUCAACCUGCAUUUGAGCCUGUUGCAGUUAGAGGAGAAUCUACAACCUCUACGACCUGCCCUACCUGCGGCCAUUUUGUGACGAAUCCAUUGGUCACCAUGGGGAUUGUGACAGAGCCGUUGGCCAGAGUUCUCCUGAAACCACCAAGCGCCCCGCUGACAGAGAAGAAACCGUCAUCUAAGAAAGUUGAAAAGGGCCGUGUACUUAGUACACAAGAGAUCCUCAGUUCAUUGCAAAAGACUAAACACAAUAUUAUUACAUUAAUAGAUGUACAUCAUUAUAAAACAGAGAUAUUAUGGCUCUUUAUUUCUCCUUAUCCGACCUUCACACAUAUACAGAGCGUUUUGAUAAGAAUACAGCACUUGCCCUACAAAGUAUAUGAUUUUUAACAUAGGUUAACAACGAUACAUCUGUAACAUGAUUUCUGAAAGAAGUACUGAAUAGACACGUAUAUAAUUAUAUAAUUUUGAGGUUUUUUUUCUAUUAUUUUUGCUCUUGUAGUUUCGUUAUCAACAAAAUUUGUGCUUUUA